AAUCAAAUGUAGAACGUGGUGACUAUAAUUAAUAAUACUAUACUGUAUACUUGAAGUUUGCUAAGGCAGAAGAUCUUAAAUGUUCUUACCACACCAAAAAAAGUAACUAUGUGAGGUGAUAAAUAUGCUAAUUAGCUUGACUGCGGUAAUCAUUUCACAACAUAUGCUUGCAUCAAAACACCAUGUUGUGUACCUUAAAUAUAUGUAAUUUUUAUUUGCCAACUACACUUCAGUAAAGCUUGGGGAAAGAAGAAUUGGUAAAAAUCACUUGGAAAAAUACAGCUCUUAAUACUAUGAUUUCAUGUAAUGUCACAGUAACUUUAGUUUGGAUGUCUCUGCAUAACGUGAUGUAAUCAAUCAAAAAUGUCCAUGUUUCAAUAGCGGGUGUUGCCCUGAGGUCUUGUUUUUCUGGUAGAACAGGGCCUCAGAAAGUCCACAGUCUGUACAUGCGGUCAAGAGGUAAUACCAUUAAACUUGACCUUUCCACUUAAUCCAUGCUAAGAGUGGUAUGCCAGAGAUUUUAGGUGCUGGUUUUUCUAUCUCUGGUGCUAACUUUGUCAGAAAGAAUAAAUAGGUCCUUCUUGAAAUGUUAGAAAUAAAAUUACAUAUUCCAACAAAAGUUGUAGAAUUCUUCUUUGCUAGAGGUUGGUGAAGUCAUACACACAGAAGAUAACACUGUAAUUACAUGAUGUUUAAAUAUGGAAGAACUUGCUUUCCGCUGAAUUUAUAGAUUCACUUAAUGUUUACACUGAAACAGCAGUUAACAUUCUGUUUGGAAAGGUUGCUGGGAGACUAAUCAGUGAUCGAUACUCUUUCACUAUAAACAAGAAAUGUGAAAUAAAAGACAAUAAAUUAAAAUUCAUAGCUGAGUUCAAAGGAAAAAAAUUACCCUGGCAUCAGAGAUAAAAUACUCAAAGCUAAGCAAUGAGUAUACAAGGUGGCACCUAGGCAUCGUAGCAAAAUAGCAGAUCCAGAAAUAAGUUCUUAUAUCUGGGACUAAGACUUCAAUGCCUAUGAAGGGAUCAGAGACACAGCCCUGGGAUCGUGCCAGGCAGAGAGCUGGAAAUGAGACCCUUUUGUACAGCUAGAGCCAUGGAUGAGUUACCACCUCCAUGAAAAUGGAAGCAGAAACAUGACCAAUGGCCCAGGUAAGUAUGUCGUUUGCCUAGAGCUUGUUAUUUGCCUAGAACUCAGGGUAAGGAAGAAUUCUCCAACAAAAAACAAAAUGCCAAAGAGUGAUUUAGACCCCAAAUACAUGUGUG